rnacentral:lncRNA from 1 species
CUCCAUUGAGACUCUUUAUAAGAUGGUUCAUGCAUUUUGCCCCCUAUUUCUCUCUCUAAAUUGACCAAGCCAAGCAAACAUUAAGUUCAGGCCUUCUAGCUCCAUUUGAGAACCAGUACUGAAAUGGAAGAGUGAACAGAUCAAAGCACACUCUACAACCCCACUGAUUUCUUGGCAUUCUCCAUCAUCAGAAUCGCCAAGCAACCAUGCCUUUGUUUCUCAGAGCCCUUUGAAUCAAAUCCAAGAAAAU